UACACAGACUGCCAGCAAGAGUGUGCCUCUAUUCAGCAGGGGAAAUUCUCCGCCUCUUAAAAGCAGGUGUAGACCAGCUGCAAGUGGGUUUCCUCGUACACAUUUAUGCCACUGGUG